UGCCAGCAGCCGCGGUAAUACGAGGGGGGCAAGUGUUGUUCGGAAUUACUGGGCGUAAAGGGAGCGUAGGCGGGACAUUAAGUCAGGUGUUUAAUCCUGGGGCCCAACCCCAGGCUCGCAUUUGAAACUGAUGUUCUUGAAUAUGGUAGAGGUAGGCGGAAUUCCGGGUGUAGCGGUGGAAUGCGUAGAUAUCCGGAAGAACACCAAUUGCGAAGGCAGCCUACUGGGCCAUUAUUGACGCUGAGGCUCGAAAGCGUGGGGAGCGAACAGGAUUAGAUA
rnacentral:rRNA from 1 species